AGCAGCCGCGGUAAUUCCAGCUCCAAUAGCGUAUAUUAAAGUUGUUGCAGUUAAAAGCUCGUAGUUGAAUUUCGGGAUCAAGGAAUCGGUCAUGCCUCGGUAUGUACUGGUUUUAUUGGUUCUCACCUUCUAAAGAACCAUGAUGUCAUUCAUUUGAUGUUAUGGGGAAUUAGGACUGUUACCUUGAAAAAAUUAGAGUGUUUAAAGCAGGCUUACGCUUGAAUACAUUAGCAUGGAAUAAUGAAAUAGGACAUCAGAUUCUAUUUUGUUGGUUUCUAGGAUCGAUGUAAUGAUUAAUAGGGAUAGUUGGGGGCAUUAGUAUUCAAUUGUCAGAGGUGAAAUUCUUGGAUUUAUUGAAGACUAACUACUGCGAAAGCAUUUGCCAAGGAUGUUUUCAUUAAUCAAGAACGAAAGUUAGGGGAUCGAAGACGAUCAGAUACCGUCGUAGUCUUAACCAUAAACUAUGCCGACUAGGGAUCGGAUGAUGUUAAUUUUUUAAUGACUCAUUCGGCGCCUUACG
rnacentral:misc_RNA from 1 species